GACGAACGCUGGCGGCGUGCUUAACACAUGCAAGUCGAACGGCAAGGCCCUGCUUUUGUGGGGUGCUCGAGUGGCGAACGGGUGAGUAACACGUGAGUAACCUGCCCUUGACUUUGGGAUAACUUCAGGAAACUGGGGCUAAUACCGGAUAGGAGCUCCUGCUGCAUGGUGGGGGUUGGAAAGUUUCGGCGGUUGGGGAUGGACUCGCGGCUUAUCAGCUUGUUGGUGGGGUAGUGGCUUACCAAGGCAUUGACGGGUAGCCGGCCUGAGAGGGUGACCGGCCACAUUGGGACUGAGAUACGGCCCAGACUCCUACGGGAGGCAGCAGUGGGGAAUAUUGCACAAUGGGCGGAAGCCGGAUGCAGCAACGCCGCGUGCGGGAUGACGGCCUUCGGGUUGUAAACCUCUUUCGCCUGUGACGAAGCGUGAGUGACGGUAAUGGGUAAAGAAGCACCGGCUAACUACGUG
rnacentral:rRNA from 1 species